GCCAAGAAUAAGCAGGGAGAGGCUCUUAUCAUAAGAAUGUGGCACAAAAAUGCUUGGAAAAAGGGACAAAUAUCUUGCCAAGUUCAAAUGAAGUGAUAAAAGGGUGAACUUAUCUUGGGAUUGAUGACAUAGGUCAAGUCAUUGCCAAUGCGACCCCUUUACCCACUCCCAUUUGCCCGAAAGAGCAACCAGAGAUUUGGGAUCAGCGGGCAAUGCUUACUGAAGUUCAUUUGCAACAGUAGAUCAGAAUCUGCAUAUCUCCUAACUCAAACUACAAAUGGUCUCUCUUCAUAUGACCAACAUAAUCAACAUGGCUACUGAAGACAGCUGUUGCCUCACUCCCCUUCCUGAAUCUAAAUCUAAAAACCUUUCUGUUGUUGGAUUUAAGCCAUGUGAUGGUGUAAGAUUUUUAUGUGGGAAGAACACAGAACAUGCACACACACUACCUCAAGAUUGAUAAGUUUUCAAUACAAGGAUGUACAAAAUAUCUUCUAUGAUUUAAAAAGAAAACAUUGUCGCUAUUUUCUACAUGACUGAAAAUCAAUCCUCUGAACAUUCACUUUUGCGAAUGACCCAAUCAUCUUUUAGGGUCACAUUAUACAGUAGCAGCAGGCCUAUGGCAUGAUGUUUGCUCUCUAUACAAAGAAUUUUUAUGCAGGUAGUUAUUACUCAUUAUUAUUAUUAUGUAGUAAAGGUACAAACAAGAAUACUGUC